rfam:Paracoccus yeei strain FDAARGOS_252, complete genome.
UGCGCGGACCGGGCCCCUCUGGCGACAUGAUGUCGCGAUGUCGGACCGCAUCG